rnacentral:rRNA from 1 species
GAUGAACGCUAGCGGCAGGCCUAAUCCAUGCAAGUCGAACGGUGUCUUCGGACAUAGUGGCGCACGGGUGCGUAACACGUAUGCAACCUACCUUACAUUGGGGGAUAGCCUUUCGAAAGGGAGAUUAAUACCGCAUAAGACAGUAGCUGGGCAUCCAGCAGCUGUUAAAGAUUUAUCGAUGUAAGCUGGGCAUGCGUCCAAUUGGCUAGUUGGUGAGGUAACGGCUCACCAAGGCAAUGAUUGGUAGGGGAACUGAGAGGUCAAUCCCCCACACUGGCACUGAGAUACGGGCCAGACUCCUACGGGAGGCAGCAGUAGGGAAUAUUGGGCAAUGGACGCAAGUCUGACCCAGCCAUGCCGCGUGCAGGAUGAAGGCGUUAUGCGUUGUAAACUGCUUUUAUACAGGAAGAAACGACUCUUGCGAGAGGCAUUGACGGUACUGUAUGAAUAAGCACCGGCUAACUCCGUGCCAGCAGCCGCAGUAACAC